CGAGGGGAGUGAAAAAGAACCUGAAACCGUGUACGUACAAGCAGUGGGAGCCUCUUAAUGGGGUGACUGCGUACCUUUUGUAUAAUGGGUCAGCGACUUAUAUUCUGUAGCAAGGUUAACCGAAUAGGGGAGCCGAAGGGAAACCGAGUCUUAACUGGGCGUUAAGUUGCAGGGUAUAGACCCGAAACCCGGUGAUCUAGCCAUGGGCAGGUUGAAGGUUGGGUAACACUAACUGGAGGACCGAACCGACUAAUGUUGAAAAAUUAGCGGAUGACUUGUGGCUGGGGGUGAAAGGCCAAUCAAACCGGGAGAUAGCUGGUUCUCCCCGAAAGCUAUUUAGGUAGCGCCUCGUGAAUUCAUCUCCGGGGGUAGAGCACUGUUUCGGCAAGGGGGUCAUCCCGACUUACCAACCCGAUGCAAACUGCGAAUACCGGAGAAUGUUAUCACGGGAGACACACGGCGGGUGCUAACGUCCGUCGUGAAGAGGGAAACAACCCAGACCGCCAGCUAAGGUCCCAAAGUCAUGGUUAAGUGGGAAACGAUGUGGGAAGGCCCAGACAGCCAGGAUGUUGGCUUAGAAGCAGCCAUCAUUUAAAGAAAGCGUAAUAGCUCACUGGUCGAGUCGGCCUGCGCGGAAGAUGUAACGGGGCUAAACCAUG
rnacentral:rRNA from 1 species